GUGUCGGGGCUUGCUUGGGUUGCCGCCCCUCGAGAAGCGCAUCUGUAUCCGUUAGAUCUCGAUUUAGCGACUUUGAUCAUCAAAAUAAUCUCUGCGAUUGUUCUUCCUUCUCUCGCCCUCUCUUCUCUUGGGCGAAUUCUUGCCGAUCGUCACGCCCGCCCAGUCUUUGAAGGUGUCUUAAGAGAAAGUUAAUCGUGUGCAUAAAAAAAUGUCUCGUAAAGGAUUGAUGGAGCAGGACUCGAGUAGACUCGAUGGAUGUUACACAGCUUCACCCACUAUCACCAGAAUUUGUCUCACGUCUGGCUACUAUUAACCUUGAUGCAGCCCUUGUCAUAGUAAAGAUGAACUAGUGGCGGUACUUGUUCAGUAACACUUUAGUCGAAUAAUAAUAUUCAUGUAUAUAAUAUAAUAUAAUAUAAUAUAAUAAUAUAAGUAGGGCGGGGGACGAGGUGGGGAGUGAGUGAUCUGAUCUACCCGUCCCCAACCCCAUAAUUGCACGGGCAAUAUAAAAUGCCCCCUAUCCAUGUUUAUUUUCCUCAUCCCUGCCCCGUUAUGGGCGGGCCCACAGGUACACGUAUUUGUAGGCAUGCAUAAUCGACAUAAGCUGUCGAUGGGGGAUCGAGUUGUUGGUGUGAAGAACGUGAUUUGACCAUAAGCUGCAGUAAGCCUUCCUGCAGCUUACUGCGCCAGUGUGCACGAGAAAAGGGGAGAAGAUUGCUUCUCAGCCUGCGGGUCGAGAAGCAUUGCCGCCUCAUCGGCUGGGAGGCCGGCGUGACCCUCCAAGUCCCACCCUGCCCCAUCCGAGAGAAGAUUCUUCCUUCCCAUCGUCCCUCCGUUGUAGAAGGAGAAAAUCCCAAAAAAAAUAAAAAAGGAAAUUUUGGCAUGUGGCGAAGGUAGAGAACUCGUGGGGAGUUUUCUUCUGAGAUCGGCGAGUAUACAUUGGAUGAAUGGAUGGAUGGGUUUCCUACAUCUUCUUACUCUAAUGCUCUUUUGUAGUUUUUAGUACCAGAAGAAUAUGAUGCAACUUUUAGUUU